rnacentral:rRNA from 1 species
GUCCACGCCGUAAACGAUGUCUACUAGCCGUUGGGACCCUUGAGGUUUUGGUGGCGCAGCUAACGCAAUAAGUAGACCGCCUGGGGAGUACGGUCGCAAGAUUAAAACUCAAAUGAAUUGACGGGGGCCCGCACAAGCGGUGGAGCAUGUGGUUUAAUUCGAAGCAACGCGAAGAACCUUACCAGGUCUUGACAUCCAGAGAACUUUCCAGAGAUGGAUUGGUGCCUUCGGGAGCUCUGAGACAGGUGCUGCAUGGCUGUCGU